CGACAUCCCCGGCCCGGAUGGCUUCGUGGACGGGGCUUCAGACUUCCACAGACGCGGUCACUGCCACGCAGACCUGCUCCUGGACCCUAGUCAAAAACCAGCC